GGACUACUGGGGUUUCUAAUCCUGUUUGCUCCCCACGCUCUCGCGCCUCAGCGUCAGUGUCUGUCCAGGUAGCCGCCUUCGCCACUGGUGUUCCUUCCGAUAUCUACGCAUUUCACCGCUACACCGGAAAUUCCACUACCCUCUACAGCACUCUAGCAAGCCAGUAUCACAUGCAGUUCCUAGGUUAAGCCCAGGGAUUUCACAUAUAACUUAACUUACCGCCUACGCGCCCUUUACGCCCAGUAAUUCCGAUUAACGCUCGCACCCUCUGUAUUACCGCGGCUGCUGGCAC
rnacentral:rRNA from 1 species